rnacentral:rRNA from 1 species
GAACUGAAGAGUUUGAUCAUGGCUCAGAUUGAACGCUGGCGGCAGGCCUAACACAUGCAAGUCGAGCGGCAGCACGGGUACUUGUACCUGGUGGCGAGCGGCGGACGGGUGAGUAAUGCCUAGGAAUCUGCCUGGUAGUGGGGGAUAACGCUCGGAAACGGACGCUAAUACCGCAUACGUCCUACGGGAGAAAGCAGGGGACCUUCGGGCCUUGCGCUAUCAGAUGAGCCUAGGUCGGAUUAGCUAGUUGGUGAGGUAAUGGCUCACCAAGGCGACGAUCCGUAACUGGUCUGAGAGGAUGAUCAGUCACACUGGAACUGAGACACGGUCCAGACUCCUACGGGAGGCAGCAGUGGGGAAUAUUGGACAAUGGGCGAAAGCCUGAUCCAGCCA